UGAAGAAUAAGCACCGGCUAACUACGUGCCAGCAGCCGCGGUAAUACGUAGGGUGCAAGCGUUAAUCGGAAUUACUGGGCGUAAAGCGUGCGCAGGCGGUUUUGUAAGUCUGUCGUGAAAGCCCCGGGCUUAACCUGGGAACUGCGAUGGAGACUGCAAGGCUUGAAUCUGGCAGAGGGGGGUAGAAUUCCACGUGUAGCAGUGAAAUGCGUAGAGAUGUGGAGGAACACCGAUGGUGAAGGCAGCCCCCUGGGUCAAGAUUGACGCUCAUGCACGAAAGCGUGGGGAGCAAACAGGAUUAGAUACCCUGGUAGUCCACGCCGUAAACGAUGUCGACUUGGAGGUUGUGCCCUUGAGGCGUGGCUUCCGGAGCUAACGCGUUAAGUCGACCGCCUGGGGAGUACGGCCGCAAGGUUAAAACUCAAAUGAAUUGACGGGGGCCCGCACAAGCGGUGGAGCAUGUGGUUUAAUUCGAUGCAACGCGAAGAACCUUACCUACUCUUGACAUCCGGAGAACUUUCCAGAGAUGGAUUGGUGCCUUCGGGAACUCUGAGACAGGUGCUGCAUGGCUGUCGUCAGCUCGUGUUGUGAAAUGUUGGGUUAAGUCCCGCAACGAGCGCAACCCUUAUCCUUUGUUGCCAGCGGUCCGGCCGGGAACUCAAAGGAGACUGCCAGUGAUAAACUGGAGGAAGGUGGGGAUGGCGUCAAGUCAUCAUGGCCCUUACGAGUAGGGCUACACACGUGCUACAAUGGCGCAUACAAAGAGAAGCGAACUCGCGAGAGCAAGCGGACCUCAUAAAGUGCGUCGUAGUCCGGAUUGGAGUCUGCAACUCGACUCCAUGAAGUCGGAAUCGCUAGUAAUCGUAGAUCAG
rnacentral:rRNA from 1 species